rnacentral:ncRNA from 1 species
GCGAGCGGCUUUGGGGUGAGGUGUCGUCCACUGGGCGAUGACGAAUCUUGGGGUCGCAAGUAGGGAGAAGUCGUAACAAGGUAUCCGUAGCGGAAGCUGCGGAUGGAUCACCUCCU